rnacentral:rRNA from 1 species
GCCAUUGGAAACGAUGAUUAAUACCGCAUAUAUCCUACGGGGGAAAGCAGGGGACCUUCGGGCCUUGCGCUAUUCGAUGAGCCUGAGUGAGAUUAGCUAGUUGGUGGGGUAAAGGCCUACCAAGGCGACGAUCUCUAGCUGGUCUGAGAGGAUGAUCAGCCACACUGGGACUGAGACACGGCCCAGACUCCUACGGGAGGCAGCAGUGGGGAAUAUUGCACAAUGGACGAAAGUCUGAUGCAGCCAUGCCGCGUGUGUGAAGAAGGCCUUCGGGUUGUAAAGCACUUUCAGCGAGGAGGAAAGGUCAGUAAGUAAUAUUUGCUGGCUGUGACGUUACUCGCAGAAGAAGCACCGGCUAAUUUAGUGCCAGCAGCCGCGGUAAUACUAAAGGUGCAAGCGUUAAUCGGAAUUACUGGGCGUAAAGCGCGCGUAGGUGGUUUGUUAAGUUGGAUGUGAAAGCCCAGGGCUCAACCUUGGAACUGCAUUCAAAACUGACUCACUAGAGUACGAGAGAGGUUAGUGGAAUUUCCUGUGUAGCGGUGAAAUGCGUAGAGAUGGGAAGGAACACCAGUGGCGACGGCGACUGACUGGCUCGGUACUGACACUG